AUACGUAGGGGGCGAGCGUUGUCCGGAAUUACUGGGCGUAAAGGGUGCGUAGGUGGCCUAAUAAGUCAGUUGUGAAAUUCCAGGGCUUAACCCUGGGGUUGCAAUUGAAACUGUUGGGCUUGAGUGCAGGAGAGGAAAGUAGAAUUCCUAGUGUAGCGGUGAAAUGCGUAGAUAUUAGGAGGAAUACCAGUGGCGAAGGCGGCUUUCUGGACUGUAACUGACACUGAUGCACGAAAGCGUGGGUAGCGAACAGGAUUAGAUACCCUGGUAGUCCACGCCGUAAACGAUGGAUACUAGGUGUAGGGGGUAUCGACCCCUUCUGUGCCGUAGUUAACGCGAUAAGUAUCCCGCCUGGGGAGUACGUGCGCAAGCAUGAA
rnacentral:rRNA from 1 species